rnacentral:rRNA from 1 species
UACGAAGGGGGCUAGCGUUGCUCGGAAUGACUGGGCGUAAAGGGCGCGUAGGCGGAUGGCACAGUCAGAUGUGAAAUUCCCGGGCUUAACCUGGGGGCUGCAUUUGAUACGUGUGAUCUAGAGUGAGGAAGAGGGUCGUGGAAUUCCCAGUGUAGAGGUGAAAUUCGUAGAUAUUGGGAAGAACACCGGUGGCGAAGGCGGCCAACUGGACCAUCACUGACGCUGAGGCGCGAAAGCGUGGGGAGCAAACAGG